CUCAUCGAAAAGUUCAGGUUAGGUCGUUGUAUUUGACAGCUAAAUCUGAAAUCGGAUCGGUUGUUGGACAUUCUGCGAAACAAAUGCCGACGAUCGCGCAUGUGCAAAUGGGGUGCGCAAUUUCAAGUUGUCCGCAGAAGCGUUAGCCAUUGCAGAGGCUAUCAAACUAGUUCUUCCAAGGCAAUCGGAAAACAAAAUCGUCAUCUGCUCCGAUUCACUCAGUUGCCUUACCAAACUAAAUCACAUAGGAUUAGACUCUAAUUUGCCUAACACUUUCGCCUUCAUUAAAUCUGAACUGGCUAAGGCCUUUGAUUAUGCUCAAAAUAUAAAACUUAUCCGGAUACCUAGCCACUCGGGAAUCAUAGUCGAUCCUCUGUUACUAUCUUGUAAUCUCCCUCCAAGAAGAAGGCGGACAGGAAGGAAGCCGCGGCAACAUCCCAACAGGGACCGGGUUCUGACGUCCGCUCUGAACUCUCCUGCAGGCUGGACCAGACACAAGAAAGAAAGAGGGGGAGGAGAGGGGUAUUGAAACAAAAUAUAAAAAUAUAAAUUAAAACUUCAAUAAAUAAAACAAAUAAACUAGAAAUUAAAAGAAUUCUAGUGAUAAUAAGAAUUACAUACAGAUAAAUAUCAAACUUAAGAGUUGCAACUGGACUAACUAUACGAAUCUAAUUUUUUAAUAGAUAAAAACUAAGUUAAGGAUAACUUAAGUGUUUAGUUAUAAGAACAGUAGUAAUAACAAGGAAAUUAAAUAAGAAUUAAACGAGAGAAGAAUCGGUUGAGUUUAAACGAAUAUACAGUUUAUUUGGGACAUGACUCAUUAGAGUUAUACCUGCUGGAAUUAAAAAAAAAAAAAAAGACUAACCUGAUACGCAACUGUUUAUACCGUGUGCACCAAAUGAUUUGGUUCGCCAUUUGGUGCUUGGUACGCGUAUCAAGUAUGCGGUGUAUGUAUGGCUAAUCCGGGUCAGAAUGUUUUUUUACAGGUUAUGAAAACAAACAAGGUUUCAAGAUUAUCAAUUCAGACAAUUUAUUACGUCGUUGACAAUUAACUACAGUACUAUUUACUUACUCAACUAACUUAUAACUUGAAGGUAAAAUAUUCAAAUUGAUUCUAUUAAAUAAAAUACUGGUAAUUUGUGCACCUGAAAUGAUGCCAAUGUGUUAUAAAUAACGUGGGAACAGUCAUAGAAAAUUGCAAUAUACAUAUAAAUAGAUAAUUAUAACGAGUCAUCCUAAAUUAUCACAUGCAGAGGCACAUUGAUUAUAUAAAAGUCACUCCUAAUCGAAUAUUAGGAGUUGAUGAAUGAAUUAGAAUUCUGGAUAGAACAUUACAGUUAUAUCCAUCUGGAGUGAGUCAGGAAACAAUUUAUCAAUUUUUAUUUCAAACUUGUUCAAGAUUUCUAUGGAUAACUAGACAUUAUAUCUACAAACUUGGUAUGGCCUUAGCGAUACCUGCUGUUCUUAUUUGAUUUCAACAGUAAAUUGUCAAAAAUUGUAUGUUUGAUACACGACAUUAAUACAGGCCAUACUAAGCAUUUUACAUUGAUUAAAAGUUGAAAAAAAAGUAAUCAGCUAUAGCCGAAUAAGUCGAUUAGAUAUCAUAAAUUGACAGCAAAGAUUAUUCAGAAUUAAGUUAGGUUUUGCCAAGAACGAACGUGCCGCAAACGUUUAGAAAUUUCACAAUGCAUUGCUCGCUCGGCCUCACAUAACCACAAGAAUGAAUAAAUAUUAUAUGAAUUCCAAGCUAAUUUAACAUCAGUUUAAAGGCUUUUAUGACUUAAAUUUCUUCUUAGGCAAAUAAGAGAUGGUUUUUUAGUGUCACUGACCUCUGUGCUGUACUGGCUAGCAAUACUAUGACAUAGCUCAAGCGCUAAACAUUGAUAAAAAUUUCACCGACACCUGAAUGUUGGAAUUGGUAGAUGUUCAAUGUGAACGAAUAACGUGUGAUGAGUGCCUCAUUGGUACGGUGUAUUGGAGUUAACGUUGAUCAUCUGGUUUGUACUGUAAAAUAUUGAACGGUCAAUAGAGUAAUGUCUAGUUAUGACUUUUCAUAGCAAGCAAAUGUUGGUGAAACGUUCACAGGCAUAGGAAAUUUAUGCUAUGUACAAUAAUUACAUAAAGUACCUGCAAAAUAACACUCUCGUUUUAGCCACAGCCAUAUCUGUAGAAGGGUAAUUAAUAUUUUAAUCUAUAGAUGAAAUAGUUGUACCUAUUUGUAAUAUCCAAAUGACAUUACGAAAUAAAAUUCGUCAAUUUUGCAAGCA